UACGAAGGGGGCUAGCGUUGCUCGGAUUGACUGGGCGUAAAGCGCGCGUAGGUGGCUUCGUAAGUCCGUUGUGAAAGUCAAAGGCUCAACCUUUGAAUGCCGAUGGAUACUGCGGAGCUAGAGUACGGAAGAGGCGAGUGGAAUUCCUGGUGUAGCGGUGGAAUGCGCAGAUAUCAGGAGGAACACCAAUAGCGAAGGCAGCUCGCUGGGACGUUACUGACACUAAGGCGCGAAAGCGUGGGGAGCGAACAGG
rnacentral:rRNA from 1 species